rnacentral:rRNA from 1 species
AUCGGCACACUGCGCGUCGUACCUCCACCAAGAUCGUCUCUCCCGUCGCUAGUCAUGCCGACGGUCAAGAUCGUUGAAGUUGACAGCUUUUCCCCGCUGCCGGAGGACUUGCUAUUCAGGCUGUCCGCGCUGGAAGCACCGUGGAUCGUGCUCCCGGUAAUCCAGCGCGUGUUCCUCUUCGACAACGCCGGCGGCCAGCACCCGCCAUUCGCAUCUCUCUUCGGCUCCCUCCGCGCGUCACUAGUGGCCACGCUCGCGCGGCUUCCCCCGCUCGCCGGUAGGAUCGUCUUCCUGCCGUCCACCGGCGACGCCGCAAUCGACUGCUCCACCUCCGAGGGAACCGGCGUGCGGUUCAUCGUCGCGGAGAGCGACGACGCGGACGCGGGGCGGCUGGCCGGGGAUGCGGACCACGACGUGGACACGUUCAAGGCGUUCGUCCCGAAGCUCAAGGUCGACGCACUCCCCGCGGAGGUGCUGGCUGUGCAGGUCACACGGCUGAAGGGUGGGGUGGCGGUCGGCGUGGCGAUGCACCACGUCGUGGUCGACGGCCGGUCGGUGUGGAGGUUCCUGCAGGCGUGGGCGGCGGCCUGCCGCGGGGACGACGCUGCCGCAGAGGCGGUUGUGGCCGGCCUGACGUUCGACCGCGCGGUGAUCGCGCUCCCCAGCGGCGGGGAGCUCACGAGGAGCACGCUGCCUAACUACGCACCAAAUCUGCCGCUG